rnacentral:rRNA from 1 species
AGUGAGGAAUAUUGGUCAAUGGACGCAAGUCUGAACCAGCCAUGCCGCGUGCAGGAUGACGGCCCUACGGGUUGUAAACUGCUUUUAUACGGGAAUAAUGUGUCCUACGUGUAGGAUUUUGAAGGUACCGUACGAAUAAGGAUCGGCUAACUCCGAGCCAGCAGCCGCGGUAAUACGGAGGAUCCAAGCGUUAUCCGGAUUCAUUGGGUUUAAAGGGUCCGUAGGCGGGUCUUUAAGUCAGAGGUGAAAGCCUGCAGCUCAACUGUGGAACUGCCUUUGAUACUGGAGAUCUUGAGUGUGCGUGAAGUAGGCGGAAUAAGUCAUGUAGCGGUGAAAUGCAUAGAUAUGACUUAGAACACCGAUUGCGAAGGCAGCUUACUAAAGCACUACUGACGCUGAGGGACGAAAGCGUGGGGAGCGAACAGGAUUAGAUACCCUGGUAGUCCACGCCGUAAACGAUGAUAACACGCUGUUGGCGAUACACGGUCAGCGGCCAAGCGAAAGCGUUAAGUUAUCCACCUGGGGAGUACGCCGGCAACGGUGAAACUCAAAGGAAUUGACGG